GCCCCCUUAGCUCAGGGGAUAGAGCAACGGCCUCCGGAGCCGUGUGCGCAGGUUCGAAUCCUGCAGGGGGCACCC
rnacentral:tRNA from 19 species